rnacentral:rRNA from 1 species
UACAGAGGGUGCAAGCGUUGUUCGGAAUUACUGGGCGUAAAGGGCUUGUAGGUGGCCAACUAAGUCAGACGUGAAAUCCCUCGGCUUAACCGGGGAACUGCGUCUGAUACUGGAUGGCUUGAGUGUGGGAGAGGGAUGCGGAAUUCCAGGUGUAGCGGUGAAAUGCGUAGAUAUCUGGAGGAACACCGGUGGCGAAGGCGGCAUCCUGGACCAUAACUGACACUGAUAAGCGAAAGCCAGGGGAGCAAACGGG